rnacentral:rRNA from 1 species
CCUACGGGAGGCAGCAGUAGGGAAUAUUGCUCAAUGGGGGAAACCCUGAAGCAGCAACGCCGCGUGGAGGAUGAAGGUUUUCGGAUUGUAAACUCCUUUUGUUAGAGAAGAUAAUGACGGUAUCUAACGAAUAAGCACCGGCUAACUCCGUGCCAGCAGCCGCGGUAAUACGGAGGGUGCAAGCGUUACUCGGAAUCACUGGGCGUAAAGAGCGCGUAGGCGGGAUAGCAAGUCAGAUGUGAAAUCCUAUGGCUUAACCAUAGAACUGCAGUUGAAACUGUUAGUCUAGAGUAUGGGAGAGGUAGGUGGAAUUCUUGGUGUAGGGGUGAAAUGCGUAGAGAUCAAGAGGAAUACUGAUUGCGAAGGCGACCUGCUAGAACAUAACUGACGCUGAUGCGCGAAAGCGUGGGGAGCAAACAGGAUUAGAUACCCCGGUAGUC